CAGAGUCUGCAUGGCAAGUUGCACAGCAGUAUAGAGCAGGUAUAUGUAUACGUUCUGACAUACGGGUGUGCGGGUCCUGUGCGACAAAGCGCCGUGAACCAUGUCAGGCGGGGAACCGAGCAGCAUUAAGCGGAUGUCUUUGUGUGCCGCAGGGUUGCCUGCAUGCCCGUAUGUGAGGACGUAUCUUUUUUAUGCUUGGACAUUG
rnacentral:misc_RNA from 1 species